GUGCACACUUGGCACAAGCCAUGAUCCGUCCCUGAGACUGGGUCCAGGAUGAGAAAAAAAACCUAUGCAGUACAGGUUGAUGCUGAAAAGAGAAUUUCAAACCCUCAACUCUGAUGACUCAGCUGCAAGAGACUCAGGUCAAGCCCAGUCCAGUGGUAAAAGUGACAAGAAAGAUCCUGCAGCAUCAUUCUUCAGAUUUAACAAAAAUCCUCAGGUUUUUCAAAAAUCUGAAGUGGACACCUAUUUGGAUUCCCCAACCACAGAUGGGAUUGAUGAAUUCAUGCAGUUCCCAAAGCUCAGAGGGCAGCUCAUUAAACACAACACUGCGCUGCCCUCAAGUGCUGUAGUAGAGGCUCUUUAGCAUCGGUGGUCUAAUAUUCAGACCGAGGAGAAACCGGCUGGGAGAUGCCAACUUUGAGAAGCAGCUGAUCUUGAAUGCCAACAAAAAGAUUUGAAGGAAGCAAAAAACAGCAGAUCCACCAGGGAGAGACCACUGUGACUGAGAUUCUUCAUUCAGAUAAGGGAUUUUUGGGCUGGACAGAAAAUAACACUGUCCUUGGCCCUGCAUACUUUUCAUUAAUUAGUAUUAUUAUUAUUUUAGUUAUUUAUGUGGACUGCAACCAGUGACAGAUAUUCAUUCAGUUAAGGUAUUUUCACUCACUGGACAGAAUGUAGAAGCACUGUCCAUGGCCUUGGACUUUUAAGUUAUUGUUUUUUUUUUUUUUUUUUUUUUACUUAUUCAAUGGCCAAAAAAUUGAGAAGUGACUUGAUGAUGUUUAAAUGUUUUGCACUUUGAAUAUUGCACUUUCAAGUUCAACCUUAAUUUCCUACCUCAGCCUGGUCCCUCAGUUUGUGUUAAUAAAAUGGUCUUGAGGGUUUUA